GUCUGGUGAACAACUUUUCAGUCAUUCAGAAGCCACGCGGGAUACUAAACACUUUGGACGUUAAAACGCUAAUCCAGAAAACGUAACAGCCACAUCAGCAUGGAUGCAGCAACGAAGAUCUUGCUGCUCAUGGCACUUGUAGUCACCGCUGCCAACGCCACGGAUAUGCGGCCGGACUUCUGCCCCGAGAAUCCGUGCAGCGCCGUCUUCUGCGGUCUGGGCUCCCGAUGUGCGACGGUGACGACGCAGCAAGACGGCAGACUAGGCUGCAAAGCGCGCUGCCUCGACGCUGCGACUGCGCAGUAGCCUUCGGUCGCUGCCGGACCGACCUCUGACGUGAUGGAAAUGAAACAUGUAGCGUGGAAAAGGAGGAGGCUGUCCACAGCAGACUGGGUAGCUCAAGUAGCUAAUCACAGCCCAUGACAGACGACUGAACCGCGAGCGUACUUAUAGUCUUAUCGAAAAUAACUCAAUGUAUUGAACAUACUGCCAAUGUAUGACAAUCUGAAUCAAUAAAUUUUAAGCCGAAAAGAA